GGCUGUCGUCAGCUCGUGUCGUGAGAUGUUGGGUUAAGUCCCGCAACGAGCGCAACCCUCGCCCUUAGUUGCCAUCAUUCAGUUGGGCACUCUAGGGGGACUGCCGGUGAUAAGCCGAGAGGAAGGUGGGGAUGACGUCAAGUCCUCAUGGCCCUUACGGGCUGGGCUACACACGUGCUACAAUGGCGGUGACAGUGGGACGCGGAGGGGUGACCCCGAGCAAAUCUCAAAAAGCCGUCUCAGUUCGGAUUGCACUCUGCAACUCGAGUGCAUGAAGGUGGAAUCGCUAGUAAUCGUAGAUCAGAACGCUACGGUGAAUACGUUCCCGGGCCUUGUACACACCGCCCGUCACACCAUGGGAGUUGGUUCUACCCGAAGGCGUUUUCUUAACCGCAAGGAGAGAGGCGACCACGGUAGGGUCAGCGACUGGGGUGAAGUC
rnacentral:rRNA from 1 species